rnacentral:rRNA from 1 species
GAUGAACGCUGGCGGCGUGCCUAAUACAUGCAAGUCGAGCGAACGGACGAGAAGCUUGCUUCUCUGAUGUUAGCGGCGGACGGGUGAGUAACACGUGGAUAACCUACCUAUAAGACUGGGAUAACUUCGGGAAACCGUAGCUAAUACCGGAUAAUAUUCUGAACCGCAUGGUUCAAAAGUGAAAGACGGUCUUGCUGUCACUUAUAGAUGGAUCCGCGCUGCAUUAGCUAGUUGGUAAGGUAACGGCUUACCAAGGCAACGAUGCAUAGCCGACCUGAGAGAGUGAUCGGCCACACUAGAACUGAGACGCGGUCCAGAGUCCUGAGAGAGGCAGCAGUAGGGAAUGUUCCGCAGUGGGCGGAAGCCUGACGGAGCGACGCGGCGUGAGUGGUGGAGGUGUUCGGAUCGUAAAACUCUGUUAUUAGGGAAGAACAGAUGUCGAAGGAACUGUGGACAGCGUGACGGUACCUAAUCAGAAAGCCACGGCUAACUACGUG